rnacentral:misc_RNA from 1 species
GAUGAAGAACGCAGCGAAAUGCGAUACGUAGUGUGAAUUGCAGAAUUCAGUGAAUCAUCGAAUCUUUGAACGCACAUUGCACCUCUCGGUAUUCCGGGAGGUAUGCCUGUUCGAGCGUCAUUUGUACCCUCAAGCUCUGCUUGGUGUUGGGUGUUUGUUCCGCCUCUGUGUGUGAACUCGCCUCAAAACAAUUGGCAGCCGGCGUACUUGUUUCGGAGCGCAGCACAUUUUGCGAUCCAGAUCAACGUACAGCGGCAUCCAAGAAGCCUUAUUUAACGCUCUUGACCUCGGAUCAGGUAAGGAUACCCGCUGAACUUAAGCAUAUCAAUAAGCGGAUGA